CACAGGCUUGUAUGUAAACAAGGUCAGCCCUACACUGCAGUGCAUAUCACAGGCUGCUGGAAAGGCAGAAGUUGGUUGGUCUUCGUGAACACCUGUGGCAGAAGUCUGCGGACGCUGAUUUUUCUUUAGGGGUUCAAGAGGUCCACAGAGCUGCCAGGAUGAUGAAAGACUGCUUGCAUUUUCUCGUGGAGCCGGCCAAGAAGCUCAAAAUCCGUCUGAAGGAAUCUCGUAAAAGAGCAAGGACUGAAAAGAAGGCCCCCCUUCUAGAGAGUCAGCUGUUCAUCAUGGAGCUGGCCAGGGAGCUGAACCGGGUGUGCCAGGUAUACACACA